rnacentral:rRNA from 1 species
AGCGAACGCUGGCGGCAGGCCUAAUACAUGCAAGUCGAACGGAUCCUUCGGGAUUAGUGGCGGACGGGUGAGUAACACGUGGGAACGUGCCCUUUGGUUCGGAACAACUCAGGGAAACUUGAGCUAAUACCGGAUAAGCCCUUCGGGGGAAGGAUUUAUCGCCAUUGGAGCGGCCCGCGUCUGAUUAGCUAGUUGGUGGGGUAAAGGCCUACCAAGGCGACGAUCCGUAGCUGGUCUGAGAGGACGANCAGCCACACUGGGACUGAGACACGGCCCAGACUCCUACGGGAGGCAGCAGUGGGGAAUCUUGCGCAAUGGGCGAAAGCCUGACGCAGCGACGCCGCGUGAGGGAUGACGGCC